rnacentral:rRNA from 1 species
GACGAACGCUGGCGGCGUGCUUUACACAUGCAAGUCGAACGGUGAAGGUGGAGCUUGCUCCGCCGGAUCAGUGGCGAACGGGUGAGUAACACGUGGGCAACCUGCCCCUAACUUUGGGAUAACUACUCGAAAGAGUAGCUAAUACCGGAUAUGAAGUCUGUAGGCAUCUAUGGAUUUGGAAAGUUUUUCGGUUAGGGAUGGGCCCGCGGCCUAUCAGCUUGUUGGUGAGGUAGUGGCUCACCAAGGCGACGACGGGUAGCCGGCCUGAGAGGGCGACCGGCCAAACUGGGACUGAGACACGGCCCAGACUCCUACGGGAGGCAGCAGUGGGGAAUAUUGCGCAAUGGGCGAAAGCCUGACGCAGCAACGCCGCGUGCGGGAUGAAGGCCUUCGGGUUGUAAACCGCUUUCAGCAGGGAAGAAGCGAAGGUGACGGUACCUGCAGAAGAAGCACCGGCUAACUACGUGCCAGCCGCCGCCGUAA